UCAAAAUGAUGAAAAGUCUGACUCAAGGA
rnacentral:piRNA from 1 species